GGUCUAAUAUGGCUAAGUCAGUAAAGCAUUAGACUCUUAAUCUCAGGGUUGUGGGUUUGAGCCUCACGUUGAGCA